UACGAAGGGGGGCUAGCGUUGCUCGGAAUCACUGGGCGUAAAGCGCACGUAGGCGGAUUUGUAAGUCAGGGGUGAAAUCCCGGGGGCUCAACCUCGGAACUGCCUUUGAUACUGCGAGUCUUGAGUCCGAUAGAGGUGGGUGGAAUUCCUAGUGUAGAGGUGAAAUUCGUAGAUAUUAGGAAGAACACCAGUGGCGAAGGCGGCCCACUGGAUCGGUACUGACGCUGAGGUGCGAAAGCGUGGGGAGCAAACAGG
rnacentral:rRNA from 1 species